UCUUUUCAAGGCACUGCUAGUUCAAUCGGGUAGCAGAGAACGUAUCAAGGGUCUCCAUCUUUAACGUGCCUACCGCCCGCACGCACCUCCAAACUGCACGGUGGCAGUUCAUCAUGUUUGUGUUACAAGACAGAGAUAACGUGCUCCUUGCCCAGAGCCAGUGACGUGGGCACACAUGAGGCAGGUGUGGGCCACCUACAAUACAACCCCUAAGAAACACGAAAGAACAACUUCUUGUAUUUGUCAAGAGCACUGAGUUGUCUGUGUGUUCGCUUGAGCCCACGGAGAGGCCCAGAUCACCACACGGCAAUAUCAAUCAUGCCUUUAUGAUUCAUCUCUCCUAAAAGCCUGCGCUGAAAUGAUAAUGCACUAACCUGUCUCCAGUUAAUGGCAAAAUAAUGGUUGCUUGGGAAGAAAACACAAUGAAGGACAAUCUCAUUUCAGGGCUGCAAAAUAAGGAAAGAGGCAGUUAAAACAUUUUCAAAAGAAAUAUUGGUACAAUACAAAAGCAGAGCCAGGAAUCUCAUUUAAAAUUGGUCUCCCUGCACAGUCCCCACUUCCCUUAAAUGGAACUCUCUC
rnacentral:lncRNA from 1 species